AGAGAUCUGGAGGAAUACCGGUGGCGAAGGCGGCCCCCUGGMCAAAGAMUGACGCUCAGGUGYGAAAGAGGGGGGAGCAAACAGGAUUAGAUACCCUGGUAGUCCWCGCUGUAAACGAUGUCGAUUUGGAGGUKGUGCCCUUGAGRMRUGGCUUCCGGAGYUAACGCGUUAAAUCGACCGCCUGGGGAGUACGGCCGCAAGGUUAAAACUCAAAUGAAUUGACGGGGGCCCGCACAAGCGGUGGAGCAUGUGGUUUAAUUCGAUGCAACGCGAAGAACCUUACCUACUCUUGACAUCCAGAGAACUUUCCAGAGAUGGAUUGGUGCCUUCGGGAACUCUGAGACAGGUGCUGCAUGGCUGUCGUCAGCUCGUGUUGUGAAAUGUUGGGUUAAGUCCCGCAACGAGCGCAACCCUUAUCCUUUGUUGCCAGCGAUUCGGUCGGGAACUCAAAGGAGACUGCCGGUGAUAAACCGGAGGAAGGUGGGGAUGACGUCAAGUCAUCAUGGCCCUUACGAGUAGGGCUACACACGUGCUACAAUGGCGUAUACAAAGAGAAGYGAACUCGCGAGAGCAAGCGGACCUCAUAAAGUACGUCGUAGUCCGGAUUGGAGUCUGCAACUCGACURCAUGAGCAGUGGCA
rnacentral:rRNA from 1 species